rnacentral:tRNA from 1 species
GCCUGGGUGGCUUAGUCGGUUAAGCGUCUGACUUCAGCUCAGGUCAUGAUCUCACUGUGAAUUCAAGCCCCGCGUCAGGCU